rnacentral:rRNA from 1 species
AUUGAACGCUGGCGGCAGGCCUAACACAUGCAAGUCGAGCGGAGCGUCGGACGGGUGAGUAAUGCCUAGGAAUCUGCCUGGUAGUGGGGGAUCACGUCCAGCAACGGGCGCUAAUACCUCAUACUAUCACAUGAGCCUAGGUCGGAUUAGCUAGUUGGUGGGGUAACGGCCUACCAAGGCGACGAUCCGUAACUGUGCUGAGAGGAUGAUCAGUCAAACUGGAACGGUGACACGGUCCAGACUCAUCCGGGAGGAAGCAGUGGGGAAUAUUGGAAAAGGGGCGAAAGCCUGAUCCAGACAUGCCGCGUGUGUGAAGAAGGUCUUAGGAUUGUAAAGCACUUUAAGUUGGGAGGCGUUACCAACAGAAUAAGCACCGGCUAACUUCGUGCCAGCAGCCGCGGUAAUAC